CCCUCAAAACCCAGGGGAAGCGGGCGGGAAUCCUGGCCAUCGAUGUCCACAGCCAUCAGAAGUGCAGGGAAGCUAGGAUUACAGGUAGCAGGGGGGG